rnacentral:rRNA from 1 species
CCUACGGGAGGCAGCAGUGGGGAAUAUUGGACAAUGGGCGCAAGCCUGAUCCAGCAAUGGCCGCGUGAGUGAAGAAGGUCUUCGGAUUGUAAAGCUCUUUCGGCCGGAACGAAAUCGCUCGAGCCAACACCUUGAGCGGAUGACGGUACCGGAAUAAGAAGCACCGGCUAACUCCGUGCCAGCAGCCGCGGUAAU